rnacentral:rRNA from 1 species
CGUACGGGUGAGUAACACGUAUCCAACCUGCCGUCUACUCUUGGACAGCCUUCUGAAAGGAAGAUUAAUACAAGAUGGCAUCAUGAGUCCGCAUGUUCACAUGAUUAAAGGUAUUCCGGUAGACGAUGGGGAUGCGUUCCAUUAGAUAGUAGGCGGGGUAACGGCCCACCUAGUCUUCGAUGGAUAGGGGUUCUGAGAGGAAGGUCCCCCACAUUGGAACUGAGACACGGUCCAA